GACAGAGGGUGCAAGCGUUAUCCGGAAUGAUUGGGCGUAAAGCGUCUGUAGGCGGCUUUUCAAGUCCGCCGUGAAAUCCCAGGGCUCAACCCUGGACAGGCGGUGGAAACUACCAAGCUGGAGUACGGUAGGGGCAGAGGGAAUUUCCGGUGGAGCGGUGAAAUGCAUUGAGAUCGGAAAGAACACCAACGGCGAAAGCGCCCUGCUGGGCCGAAACUGACACUGAGAGACGAAAGCUAGGGGAGCAAAUGGG
rnacentral:rRNA from 1 species